rnacentral:lncRNA from 1 species
UAAGAUAACACAUAUGGAUCGGGAAAAAAUACUUUCAUAGAUUGAAUAAGAAAAUCAUAAAAUAUCCCUUAGAGAUGAUUACAAGAAUGAAAUCUAAAGGAAACAUGAAAUGAUUAAGAAUAACCCACUCGAAGAAGCUCUUGAUAUCUGCAGCCAUCUUCUUUUUUUCUCCUACUUUCAUCUCCCUCUUCUUUUUUAGAUAAUCCCCCUUUUU